rnacentral:rRNA from 1 species
CGAGCACGCGCGUGUGGCAUAUCAAUAAGCGGAGGAAAAGAAACUAACAAGGAUUCCCUUAGUAACGGCGAGUGUAAGCGGGAAGAGCUCAAAUUUGAAAUCUUCAAGGUUCUACCUUGACGAAUUGUAGUUUAUAGAAGUGUUUUCUGUUAGUGGAGUGGCAAAAGUUCUUUGGAAUAGGACAUCACAGAGGGUGAGAAUCCCGUAUUUGGUCAUUCCUCCUAGCGUUGUGAUACACUUUCAACGAGUCGGAUUGUUUGGGAAUGCAGUCCAAGAUGGGUGGUAAAUUUCAUCUAAAGCUAAAUAUUGGCGAGAGACCGAUAGCGAACAAGUACCGUGAGGGAAAGAUGAAAAGAACUUUGAAAAGAGAGUUAAACAGUACGUGAAAUUGUCAAAAGGGAAGCGUUUGACACCAGUGUUGUUUUUCCGAAAAUCAAUUACGAAUGUUUUAUUUUUGAGGAGUUAUGACUUCAUCGGCUUGCUUCCUUUCUUUACUGAAACUUUCUUAAUGCACUUUUCGGUUAACAAGUCAACAUCAAUUUCUUUUGUUGUAAAAGGGUAUGAGGAAGGUGGCUUUCUUUUCGGAGAAAGUGUUUAUAGCCUUGUGCCUCUGACAAUCGGAGAGAUUGAGGUCUGCAGCGUAGAUCCUUCGGGGUUAGAUACGUUUGUGCUAAGUUAUAGCUUUUCAUAGACAACUUGUUGACUAUGUUUAGUCUUGUAGCUUACUCGCUUACGCUAUUUUACCUACGCUUAGGAUGUUGAUGUGAUACUGCGAGCA